UACGGGGGGGGCAAGCGUUGGUUCGGAAUUACUGGGCGUAAAGGCUCGUAGGAUGGCCAACUAAGUCAGACGUGAAAUCCCUCGGCUUAACCGGGGAACUGCGUCUGAUACUGGAUGGCUUGGAUCCGGGAGAGGGAUGCGGAAUUCCAGGUGUAGCGGUGAAAUGCGUAGAUAUCUGGAGGAACACCGGUGGCGAAGGCGGCAUCCUGGACCGGUAUUGACGCUGAGGAGCGAAAGCCAGGGGAGCAAACGGGG
rnacentral:rRNA from 1 species